rnacentral:rRNA from 1 species
AUUGACGCUGGCGGCAUGCCUUACACAUGCAAGUCGAACGGCAGCAUGACGUGUAGCAAUACACGUUGAUGGCGAGUGGCGAACGGGUGAGUAAUAUAUCGGAACGUGCCCUGUAGCGGGGGAUAACCUAUCGAAAGAUGGACUAAUACCGCAUACGCUCUACGGAGGAAAGCGGGGGUCGCAAGACCUCGCACUAUAGGAGCGGCCGAUAUCGGAUUAGCUAGUUGGCGGGGUAAAAGCCCACCAAGGCGACGAUCCGUAGCUGGUCUGAGAGGAUGAUCAGCCACACUGGAACUGAGACACGGUCCAGACUCCUACGGGAGGCAGCAGUGGGGAAUUUUGGACAAUGGGCGCAAGCCUGAUCCAGCCAUGCCGCGUGAGUGAAGAAGGCCUUCGGGUUGUAAAGCUCUUUCGGCAGGAACGAAAUGGUUCGUGCUAAUACCACGGACUGAUGACGGUACCUGAAGAAGAAGCACCGGCUAACUACGUGCCAGCAGCCGCGGUAAUACGUAGGGUGCAGGCGUUAAUCGGAAUUACUGGGCGUAAAGCGUGCGCAGGCGGUUUCUUAAGUCAGAUGUGAAAGCCCCGGGCUUAACCUGGGAACUGCGUUUGAAACUGGGAGACUUGAGUGUGGCAGAGGGGGGUGGAAUUCCACGUGUAGCAGUGAAAUGCGUAGAUAUGUGGAGGAACACCGAUGGCGAAGGCAGCCCCCCUGGGGCUAACAC